GGCGAGGUAGUUUAAUAAAAAUAUUUGUUUUACACACAAAAGUUGAUUAGUUGAUCUAUUGCUA
rnacentral:tRNA from 1 species